GGAGAAUGGAAUUCCCGGUGUAGCGGUGAAAUGCGCAGAUAUCGGGAGGAACACCGGUGGCGAAGGCGGUUCUCUGGGCCUGACCUGACGCUGAGGAGCGAAAGCGUGGGGAGCGAACAGGAUUAGAUACCCUGGUAGUCCACGCCGUAAACGUUGGGCGCUAGGUGUGGGUCCCUUCCACGGGUUCCGUGCCGCAGCUAACGCAUUAAGCGCCCCGCCUGGGGAGUACGGCCGCAAGGCUAAAACUCAAAGGAAUUGACG
rnacentral:rRNA from 1 species